GCUUUCUUAAAACCGCACUGAAAAGGUUAAAAGAGUUUUGAUACCACCUUAAAGGCGUGUCUUAAAUUUAUA
rfam:Mycoplasma sp. CAG:956 genomic scaffold, scf9